GAUGAACGCUAGCGGCAGGCUUAAUACAUGCAAGUCGAGGGGCAGCACAGUGUAGCAAUACAUGGGUGGCGACCGGCAAACGGGUGCGGAACACGUACGCUACUUUCCCGGAACUGGGGGAUAGCCCCCCGAAAGGAGGAUUAAUACCCCGUAACACAGUGGAGUGGCAUCAUUCUAUUGUUAUAGCUGAGGCGGUUCUG
rnacentral:rRNA from 1 species